rnacentral:rRNA from 1 species
GAUGAACGCUGGCGGCGUGCCUAACACAUGCAAGUCGAACGGAAAGACACUGAGAUUGUGCGGUUACCGAUGGCGGAUGGCGGGAGGGUGACGCGUAUAUCGGGACCUUCUCUUUCGGGGAGGAUAACGUAAAGAGGGCUAAGAUAGUAUAGCAUAUGAUGUACCGGGGAGGGCGGUGGAUAGUUGCGGCUUUUGGGGAUGAAUUAGCGGCGGCCGGGCUAGCUAGUUGGGUGGGUAAAUGCCCAGCAAGGCGACGAUCCGCAGCUGGUCUGGGAGGAUGAUCGGCCACACUGGAACUGAGACACGGUCCAGACUACUACGGGAGGCAGCAGUGGGGAAUAUUGGGCAAUGGGCGGAAGCCUGACCCAGUCAGACCGCGUGAGUGACGAAGGCCUUCGGAUCGUAAAGCCCUUUUUUUGGGUAAGAACAGCUGUCGGUUAAUACCCCGCUGUUUUGACGGUACCCAAUGAAUAAGCACCGGCUAACUACGUG